UUUAGAUUUUUUGAUCAAUAUGUGGUAUUUUUAAAAUAAAAUACUCAAAACAUUUAUUUUAGGAAAAUUUUCAUUUUUAUUGAGUAAUAAUGUACAUUUGGGGUUGUAAUUUAGAAAUUAGAAUAACAAGAAUUUUUGUUGAUAGAUGAGUAUUCUUUUAGAUUUUUUUGAUCAAUAUGUUGUAUUUUUUAAAUAAAAUAAUCAAAAAAUCUAUUUUAGGAAAGUUUUCAUUUUCAUUGGGAAAUAUUGUGAAUUUGGGAUUGUGAUUUAGAAAUUGAGAUAACAAGAAUUUUUGUUGACUGAUGAGUAUUUUUAUAGAUUUUUUUAUCAAUAUGUUGUAUUUUUCUAAUUUAAUUCUCAAAAAAAUUAUUUUAGGAAAGUUUUCAUUUUUAUUGAGAAAUAAUGUACAUUUGGGUUGUGAUUUCGAAAUUAGGAUAACAAGAAUUUUUGUUGAUAGAUGGGUAUUCUUUUAGAAUUUUUUAUCAAUAGGAUGUAUUUUUAAAAUAAAAUACUCAAAAAAUCAUUUUAGGAAAGUUUUCAUUUUCAUUGGGAAAUAUUGUAAAUUUGGGGUUGUGAUUUAGAAAUUGAGAUAACAAGAAUUUUUGUUGAUAGAUAAGUAUUUUUUUUUAGAUUUUUUGAUCAAUAUGUGGUAUUUUAAAAAUAAAAUACUCAAAAAAUCUUAUUUAGGAAAGUUUUCAUUUUAUUGAGAAAUAUUGUACAUUUGGGGUUGUUAUUUAGAAAUAGGAUAACAAGAAUUUUGUUGAUAAAAGAGUAUUCUUUUAGAUUUUUUGAUCAAUAUGUGGUAUUUUAAAAAUAAAAUACUCAAAAAAUCUUAUUUAGGAAAGUUUUCAUUUUUAUUGAGAAAUAAUGUACAUUUGGGGUUGUGAUUUAGAAAUUAGGAUAACAAGAAUUUUUGUUGAUAGAUGAGUAUUAUUUUAGAAUUUUUUUAUCAAUAGGAUGUAUUUUUAAAAUAACAUACUCAAAAAAUCUAUUUUAGGAAAUUUUUCCUUUUCAUUGGGAAAUAUUGUAAAUUUGAGGUUGUGAUUUAGAAAUUGAGAUAACAAGAAUUUUUGUUGAUAGAUGAGUAUUUUUUUAGAUUUUUUGAUCAAUAUGCUGUAUUUUUAAGAUUUAAUUCUCAAAUAUUCUAUUUUAGGAAAGUUUUCAUUUUAUUGAGAAAUAUUGUACAUUUGGGGUUGUUAUUUAGAAAUAGGAUAACA
rnacentral:lncRNA from 1 species